GACAGAGGGGGCAAGCGUUGCUCGGAAUUACUGGGCGUAAAGGGCGCGUAGGCGGGAUGGCAAGUCGGUCGUGAAAUCCCUCGGCUCAACUGAGGAUCGUCGAUCGAUACUGCCGUUCUUGAGGAUUGCAGAGGAGACUGGAAUUCCCGGUGUAGCGGUGAAAUGUGUAGAGAUCGGGAGGAACACCGGUGGCGAAGGCGGGUCUCUGGGCAAUUCCUGACGCUGAGGCACGAAGGUCAGGGGAGCAAACGGG
rnacentral:rRNA from 1 species